GACAAAAGAUGCCAGACGGCAUUUCCAAACAAAGGUAUCAAGCCCUAGAACUUCUUUCCAUGAGAUGGGUACACUUCGAAUGUGCAAAUUUGUGGUGAGGAAUUCAAGACCAAUUCUGAAUUGCGUAGGCAUGUAUAAAGGAAACAUCAGUCAGAAAAAUUGUCUUCGUUUGUGACCAGUGCAACACACGCUUUUGCCCAUUAUAAAAGAAACUCGAAGUAAAAAAUACAUUGUUUUCUUAAUACACGAGGUGCAUACAUACAUGUAUACCAUGGCAGCCGUUUUAUAUAUUCGUUUAUGUACAUUGUGAAACGAUUAUUUUUACGGUAUUAUGCUUUGUUUUACAGAGAUACUACUAAUCUUUUACAUUGCAUUUUACACAUGUUGAUUUGUCAUUUCAUUGAACCUAAGUUUUACGUGUUAUUAAAUAUAUUUCAAUGUUA